rnacentral:tRNA from 1 species
GCCUUCGUGAUGUAAUUGUAAAGCAUGACCGACUAGCAAUCGGAUGCUCCGGAGUUCAAGUCUCGCCAAUGGCA